UUAAUUUAUUUAUAUGGUGGCACAAAAUCGGAAGCCCCGACUGUUUACUAAAAACACAACUAUCUGCAAUUAUGAAAAUAAUAGUAUAGGUAGUGAGAUUUGCCCAAUGCCAUAUUCAUANGUAAUAAUAAUGGGUAACUGUUUCUUUACAAAAAAUUGGUUAAUAGCGGUCUUAACUAUGAGGAUCCUAAGGUAGCAAAAUAAAUUGGCCAUUAAAUGUGGUCAAGUAUCA
rnacentral:rRNA from 1 species